AGCCACACGCAGCUUUCUCUUUAGUGCCACAGCACGUGAGAAAAGUUAAAGGAAAGCACUACUUUUUUUUUUUCUAAAGAAAAAUACUCGUUACCCUACUGUGGUGGGCGGGGCAUGCAACAUAUCGCUUCAUGGCAUAAAUAUAGGCUACAUCUGACGCAUCUUUUUUCCCCCCAUUCCUAUUAAUAUUCGAGUGAGGUUUCAAACUCAAAUUACAAAAACCUUCGUGCUUUUUGUGCGAGAAGGCGGGCGAUGUCUCCGCCUCCUCCUCCUCCGCCGCUGCAUCUGGAGGAGCGGAGCGCGCGGUGCGUCGGCCGUCGUCCGACACGCGGUGCAGAGAGAUGCGAGCAUCAUCAGACGCUUCAUCAGAACGAUCAGAGACCUCACCGAGAAAACAACAACAACAACAGCAGAAUGAAGCUGCUGCAUGACAGGACAUGACCAACACAAACUACAGACUGUAAACCUCCACAA